GGUAUCCUGUCUGAAUAUGGGGGGACCAUCCUCCAAGGCUAAAUACUCCUGACUGACCGAUAGUGAACCAGUACCGUGAGGGAAAGGCGAAAAGAACCCCGGCGAGGGGAGUGAAAAAGAACCUGAAACCGUGUACGUACAAGCAGUGGGAGCACAGAGCAAUCUGUGUGACUGCGUACCUUUUGUAUAAUGGGUCAGCGACUUAUAUUCUGUAGCAAGGUUAACCGAAUAGGGGAGCCGAAGGGAAACCGAGUCUUAACUGGGCGUUAAGUUGCAGGGUAUAGACCCGAAACCCGGUGAUCUAGCCAUGGGCAGGUUGAAGGUUGGGUAACACUAACUGGAGGACCGAACCGACUAAUGUUGAAAAAUUAGCGGAUGACUUGUGGCUGGGGGUGAAAGGCCAAUCAAACCGGGAGAUAGCUGGUUCUCCCCGAAAGCUAUUUAGGUAGCGCCUCGUGAAUUCAUCUCCGGGGGUAGAGCACUGUUUCGGCAAGGGGGUCAUCCCGACUUACCAACCCGAUGCAAACUGCGAAUACCGGAGAAUGUUAUCACGGGAGACACACGGCGGGUGCUAACGUCCGUCGUGAAGAGGGAAACAACCCAGACCGCCAGCUAAGGUCCCAAAGUCAUGGUUAAGUGGGAAACGAUGUGGGAAGGCCCAGACAGCCAGGAUGUUGGCUUAGAAGCAGCCAUCAUUUAAAGAAAGCGUAAUAGCUCACUGGUCGAGUCGGCCUGCGCGGAAGAUGUAACGGGGCUAAACCAUG
rnacentral:rRNA from 1 species